rnacentral:piRNA from 1 species
UUGAAUAGACAGCAGAAGUAUUUGGGGCUC